UCUUCUUGUCUAAAUCCUUUGUGUGUCUGGGAAUGCAGGACAUUUGACUUUGUUUUCAAAGUCUGGCUCUGUUCAAUCCAUUCAGAAACCCUCAGAGAGCUUUUCACUGUAGCAUCAUGUACAGAAGCUGGCCUCAACAAUGGAUGGUUUCUCAGAGCAUUGGUCUUGCAUCCCCACCCCCUGCCAUCCCAUAUAUGCGUCCUGGAUCUCCAUACCACCGGCUGGCCCCCAGGCCAUAUGGAGAAUUGGAGAUGAUGAACUACCUCUGGCAAAAUGUUCUACGGCCGCGCCGCCGUCCGCCGCCGUCGACCGCCGGCUGGGAGCGACACGACGAC